GGGGAAUUUUCCGCAAUGGGCGAAAGCCUGACGGAGCAACGCCGCGUGAGGGAGGAAGGCUCUUGCGGUUGUAAACCUCUUUUCUCAAGGAAGAUAAUGACGGUACUUGAGGAAUCAGCAUCGGCUAACUCCGUGCCAGUAGCCGCGGUAAUACGGAGGAUGCAAGCGUUAUCCGGAAUAAUUGGGCGUAAAGCGUUCGUAGGUGGUUUUGUAAGUCUGCUGUUAAAGCGUGUAGCUUAACUACAUGUAGGCGGUGGAAACUACAAGACUUGAGUGCGUUCGGGGUAGAGGGAAUUCCUGGNUGUAGCGGUGAAAUGCGUAUAGAUCAGGAAGAACACCGGUGGCGAAGGCGCUCUACUAGACCGCAACUGACACUGAGGGACGAAAGCUAGGGGAGCGAAUGGGAUUAGAUACCCCAGUAGUC
rnacentral:rRNA from 1 species